GAUGAAGAACGCAGCGAAAUGCGAUAAGUAGUGUGAAUUGCAGAAUUCAGUGAAUCAUCGAAUCUUUGAACGCACAUUGCGGCCAUAGGUAUUCCUUUGGCCAUGCCUGUUCGAGCGUCAUUUACACCCUCAAGCCUAGCUUGGUGUUGGGCGUCUGUCCCGCCGUUCUCACGCGCGGACUCGCCUCAAAGUCAUUGGCGGCGGUCGUGCCGGCCCCCUCGCGCAGCACAUUUGCGCUUCUCGGAGGCCCGGCGGAUCCGCGCUCCAGCAAGACCUUUCACGACUUGACCUCGGAUCAGGUAGGGAUACCCGCUGAACUUAAGCAUAUCAAUAAGCGGAGGA
rnacentral:misc_RNA from 1 species